AUUAUAAUUUCUAUAUGUUAUAUAUAAUUUUUGUUUAAUUUAAAAUUAUUUUCUUUGCAAUUAAAUAUUGUAACCUGUUAUUGAUGUCGAUUUAAUCGAUGAAAAAAACUUGGUAUGCACAUGCGCAAAAAUAUGUGAUCGAUAUUAGAAUAUCGGGUAUAAAAUCUUGAAUACAUACAUUAACCUCGAAUUUUUAUUCAUAUUCAUUUAGAAAACAUUUAAAAAAUAUCAAAUAUUCUUAGGCACAAUCUUGGAAUGGAACAAAUGGAUCUAUUAUGUGAUUUUUCCUCAAUCUUAUGUAUUUAUUGUAAACAUAAGCAUUUUAAUAAAAUUGAGAUAUGAAUGUAUAUAA